UACGUAGGGGCCGAGCGUUGUCCGGAGUUAUUGGGCGUAAAGCGCGCGCAGGCGGCCUCGCGCGCCAGACGUGAAAGCCCCCGGCUUAACCGGGGAGGGUCGUUGGGGACGGCGGGGCUUGAGGGCGGGAGAGGGUGGUGGAAUUCCCGGUGUAGUGGUGAAAUGCGCAGAUAUCGGGAAGAACACCCGUGGCGAAGGCGGUUCUCUGGGACGGUACUGACGCUGAGACGCGAAAGCGUGGGGAGCGAACAGG
rnacentral:rRNA from 1 species